UACGAAGGGUGCAAGCGUUACUCGGAAUUACUGGGCGUAAAGCGUGCGCAGGUGGUUCGUUAAGUCUGUCGUGAAAGCCCCGGGCUCAACCUGGGAAUGGCGAUGGAUACUGGCGGGCUAGAGUGCGGUAGAGGAGAGUGGAAUUCCCGGUGUAGCAGUGAAAUGCGUAGAGAUCGGGAGGAACAUCAGUUGCGAAGGCGGCUCUCUGGACCAGCACUGACACUGAGGCACGAAAGCGUGGGGAGCAAACAGG
rnacentral:rRNA from 1 species